AUGCGUUUCUGCCAUGGUUGGCUCAGCUGAAUGCACCUCUUGAACAAGACUUGGCCUUGGACACCCAGAGGCCCUUGGUUGAGGGUUUACCUCCUGGCAUGGCCACUGACACAUCCACGUUUGGCUCCCACAUGGCUGGGUGGUCCGAGACCUGCUCUUCCUGGGCUACUCAUUGGUGGCAUUUCUCAAGUUUGUCCCCUGUAAAGUCUGCCCCAUCCGGGAAACCAAACACCUCUCUCCUACAUGGAAACCCCCGUCAGCACCUCUUCCUGACUCACAGGGCAUCCCGUCAACAUCACAGUCCCGACCUUCCCACACAGACAAGCUCAUGGGACCCCCUGAUGGACCAGGACAGCGCCAGCACUAAGAAAAGCCCUGAAACUCACAGGAAGAGUGGACCAAGAAGACGGGAACAGCACGGGGCACUGGGAGCUGCAAAUGCCCCCGAUACUGUGAGAGAUGGAGAAAGACUUCUCUUUUCUGUCCUCAUUGAAAAGACAGCCAGCUUUUGUAACCUUGCCUUGGGGAUGUUAGCAGGAGAAAUGUUGGCAAUUCAAGGCUCUUCUGGUUUUAUAAGAAAACCAGAUUUUGCUGGGAGGCCUGGAGUAGAAGAGAGGGCCUUGGAGAAGCAAAAAUGGGAGGAGAGACCUUCUUAGAGAUCAGGAGGAGCAGGUUUGCUUCCAGAACACAGGUGUCAUGAAAACCACCCCUAAAAGCCAAAAUGGGAGAGGAAAAGAUUCAAUCAAUGUUGUCAUCGUUGGACACAUAGAUUCGAGCAAGUCCACCACUACUGGCCAUCUGAUCUACACAUGUGGUGGCAUCAAAAAAGAACCACUGAAAAACUUGAGAAGGAGGCUGCUGAGAUGGGAAAGGGCGUCUUCAAAUAUUCCUGGGUAUUGGAUGAACUGAAUGCUGAGUGUGAAUGUGAUACUGCUCACCAUUGACGCCUCCUUGUGGAAAUGUGAGGCCAGCAAGUGACUAUCGCAGAUGCCUUAGGCCACAGAGACUGUCAAAAACACGAUUCCAGGGACAGAUCGGGUUGGCUGUGUUGUCCUGAUGAUCACUGCUGGUGUUGGCACCUUCGAAGCUGGUAUCUCCAAGAACGGACAGACCCGUGAUCAUGCCCUUCUGCCUUACACACAGGGUGUGAAAAAACUAAUUGUUGGUGUUAACAAAGUGGAUUCCACUGAGCCAUCCUACAGCCAGAAGAGAUAGAAGGAAAUAGUUAAGGAAAUCAGCACGUACAUUAAGAAAACUGGUUACAACCCAGCCACAAUAGUAUUUGUGUCCGUUUCUGGUUGGAAUGGGGAGAAUGUGGAGUUCUAAUGUCCAAGCAUAGGAGAAGAUGGGUGUCCCAGCUCCUGGGGGGAGAAAGAGGGAGGGGAAGAGAGAGCGAGAAAGACAGAGGAUAUUUUCCUUUCCUUCGCCUUUCUGUUCUAUCCCGGAACUCGGUGACUGGAUGGUGCCUGCCCACAUUGGGUGAGGGCGGAUCUCCCUUACUCAGUCACUGCUUCACAAACCAGUGUCUUUCAGAAACGUCCUCAUGGAUAUGCCAGGAAGUAAUGCUUUGCCAGCUGUCAUGGUAUCUCUUAAUCCAGUCAAGUUGACACAUAAAAUGAACCACCACACUCUCUAUAAUGGGAGAAUGACCUAAUUUUAUUUUUCCUACUGAGAGAACCACCAAAAUGGCAGCAAUUGCUUUCCAGAAACCAACUAAAUGAAGGUACAGAGUUAAAAUUAAGUGUAUUUGAAGAAAUGCUAUAUAUAUAUAGAUAGAUAUUUUUGAGAUGGAGUGUCGCUCUAUUGCCCAGAGUGCAGUAGCACCAUCUCG